UACGUAGGGUGCAAGCGUUAAUCGGAAUUACUGGGCGUAAAGCGUGCGCAGGCGGUGAUGUAAGACAGUUGUGAAAUCCCCGGGCUCAACCUGGGAACUGCAUCUGUGACUGCAUCGCUGGAGCACGGUAGAGGGGGAUGGAAUUCCGCGUGUAGCAGUGAAAUGCGUAGAUAUGCGGAGGAACACCGAUGGCGAAGGCAAUCCCCUGGACCUGUACUGACGCUCAUGCACGAAAGCGUGGGGAGCAACAGG
rnacentral:rRNA from 1 species